rnacentral:rRNA from 1 species
GACGAACGCUGGCGGCGUGCCUAAUACAUGCAAGUCGAACGGUCUUUUCUAUGGAAGCUUGCUUCCACUGAGAAGAUAGUGGCGAACGGGUGAGUAACACGUGGGUAACCUGCCCAUAAGAGGGGGAUAACAUCCGGAAACGGGUGCUAAUACCGCAUAGGUUUCUUGGUCGCAUGAUCGAGAAAGGAAAGACGGCCUUUGUGCUGUCGCUUAUGGAUGGACCCGCGGCGUAUUAGUUAGUUGGUGAGGUAACGGCUCACCAAGACGAUGAUACGUAGCCGACCUGGGAGGGUGAUCGGCCACAUUGGGACCGAGACACGGCCCAAACUCCUACGGGAGGCAGCAGUAGGGAAUCUUCCGCAAUGGACGAAAGUCUGACGGAGCAACGCCGCGUGAGUGAAGAAGGUUUUCGUAUCGUAAAACUCUGUUGUCAGAGAAGAACAAGUCGGAGAGUAACUGCUCCGGCCUUGACGGUAUCUGACCAGAAAGCCACGGCUAACUACGUGCCAGCCGCCGCAGUAA